GGGGGUAUAGCUCAGGGGUGGAGCACUGGACUGCAGACCAAGAGGCCCCCAGUUCAAUUCCAGACACCCCCU
rfam:Macaca mulatta chromosome 3, whole genome shotgun sequence.